GAAUGAAACGAAAAUGGAUAAUGGAUGCGGUUGUCAAAUGUGACGAUUUGCUUACGUUUUCAAAAGGUUUACGUUUUAAUUGUUUCCUUUAAAUUUAAUAAGAACCAUACACUUCCUUUAAAGUUUUUAAGAUUAAGAAUUCCACAUCUAUAUUACAGCCUGCUUCAUAUAAAAUGGAUGCUGCAGAUUCCCUUUUGAACAGAGUAUCUCCUGGUAGAGAAUUAGAAGUUGACCAGGAAUUUCUGAAACCGAAGCCGCCGGGGAAGUGCGACAUAGUGAACGAAUGUCAGACCUUUCUAAAGGCUGAAGAUGGAAGUGGCGAUGCUCAUAAUAUAACUAGCAAUAUGAGACCAAAAGAUGAAAAACCAAAAUUUGUUACAUCCACACCUGAUCAGAAGAAAGAGAACCCAUCUGAAAGUCAAAUAGCUGAUUCUAAUCCAGAAUGUGAUAUUGAAGGUGUUCCAGAUCUUCCAAUGGAUGAUGGUCUUCCCAGCACGGUCACAGUAUUGGAUGCCCCAGACGGUGGGAAGGUGUACUUGGUGGGCACUGCACACUUCAGUUUGGAAUCUCAGGAAGAUGUCUCUAGAGUAAUCCAAGAAGUGAACCCUCACAUAGUAAUGGUGGAACUAUGUGAACAGAGAACUAACAUUUUACUACUAGAUGAGGAAAUAAUAAUGAGGGAAGCUAAGAAUAUUAAUAUUAAGAAGAUAAGAGCAACAAUGCAGCAGAAUGGAGUGUUCAAUGGACUGAUGUACAUUCUACUACUGAAUAUGUCAGCACAUAUCACUAGAGAACUGGGCAUGGCACCUGGAGGGGAAUUCCGGCGAGCUAUGGCUGAGGCAAAGAAAAUCCCGAACUGCAUAGUCCAGUUAGGUGACAGGGCGAUAGACAUCACUCUGCAUCGAGCUAUCGCGUCCCUAUCGUGGGGUCAAACCAUUCGCUUUAUUUGGCAUUUGCUCACAUCCAACCAGACUAUUAGUGUUGAAGAAGUAGAGAAGUGCAAACAGAAGAAGAUGUUAGAAGACAUGCUGGAGGAGAUGGCGGAAGAGUUUCCCGCCCUCAAGCGCGUGUUCGUGGUGGAGCGCGACAUGUACCUGUGCCAUUCGCUGCAGGUCGCCGCCUUGCAACCUCGUAGAGAAUCUUGCCGCAUAGUGGGGGUGGUGGGUAUAGGCCACGUGUCUGGUAUCGUGGAGCACUGGGGCAAAAUCAAGCCUCAGGAUAUUCCGCCUUUGCUCAAGGUGCCCCCGCCGUCCCUGUCGACGCGCAUCAUCCGCGUGUCGGUGCGCGUGGCGUGCGUGGGCGCGCUGGUGUACGCGGGCUACAAGCUGGUGCCGCGCCGCUGGCUGCCGUGAUGCUUGCUGCGCGACCUCUGGGGCUUCUUCCAGUGGAUUAUCGAAACUAUCAUGAUAACGAAGACUACCAACCUGUUAAAAAAAUUGUGGAUUGGACUUGCUAACGUGUCAGCAUUCGUAACGUUCGUGCUAUAUGUACGUCCUGUUUUGGUAACUUAGCUAUUAAUGUCAUAUGUAUAUUUGGAAAAAUAGUCGUAAUACUAAAGUUAUAUAAGCUAUUCUAAAGAUAAGGUACUUGUCAAAAAAUAAGCUUUGGUUUGUAUUAUUAUUUACGCGUAAAUAAUGAAUUUAUGGAGUGAUUUUAAAAGUAAUAAGCAUAUAUAUCGAUCUUCCGGUUCAAUCUAAAAUUUUACGAAACUGAUUUGAGUUUAUUUUCAUUUUUUUUUUUGCAUUCGUGACGUUGUUACACCGGAUGAAUGAGCGAUAUGUUUUUAUAUAUGUAUGUAUUUCAUAUUCGUAGAUACAUGCUUAUGGCUGCUAUGUGAUUGGAUAUUACUUUUAAACAUUUUAGCUCUAUCUAUACUAAUAUUAUAAAGCUGAAGAGUUUGUUUGUUUGUUUGUUUGUUUGAACGCGCUAAUCUCCGAAACUACUGGUGCGAUUUGAAUAAUUCUUUUUUUGUUGGAUAGUCCAUUUAUCGAGGAAGGCUAUAGGCUAAAAAACAUUACGCUAUGACCAAUAGGAGCAAAGACAGAGCGGUAAAUGUGUAAAAAACGGGGAAAAUUAUUCAUUUUUGAAGGCUUUCUUUGCGUGCGCUGCGAAAACGGUUCAAGAUACACAAAAAAUAUGUAUGAAAGAAUUAUUCCUCUAUACAUGAUCUAAAAAAAAGUCCGCGACGGCAUAUGUCUAUCUUUUAAGGUUUAGUCACAAUUACCGUUUUUAUGGUACCAAAGUUGGUCGAAAUAAUUUGUUUAAGUUGUAUCAACAUAAUAAUAUUAAUCUUUAUUCAAAUAUAAAUAUAAAUAUGUUGUUGGUUAAGAGUACUUCAUCUAUACUUAUAAUAAAUCUGUAGAGAGGUCAAUUCUAUACAUUAAAUAUUUUUUAAAAAUAACUAUCAGGGGGUGAUAAGUGGUCGAUACUGAUGCCAAAAAUGCAAUCAGUAAAAUUUUUGUCUGUCUGUCUGUCUGUCUGUCUGUCUGUAUGUUCCUUAUAGAAACAAAAACUACUGGACGGAUUUUAAUGAAACUUGGUACAAUUAUUCUUCACACUCCUGGACAGGUUAUAGUAUACUUUUUAUCACGCUACAAUCAAUAGGAGCAGAGUAGUGAAGGGAAAUCCUUUUGUAUGAAAAAUCUAAACCGCUCAAGUUAGACGUUUGAAAUUUGGCAUGCAGGUACCUUAGAUACCGUAGAGGUGCACUAAGAAAGGAAUUCCCGAAAUUCCCACGGGAACGGGAAUUAGCGGGAAAAUCCUUUUGUAUGAAAAAUCUAAACCACUCAAGUUAGACGUUUGAAAUUUGGCAUGCAGGUACCUUAGAUACCGUAGAGGUACACUAAGAAAGGAAUUCCCGAAAUUCCCACGGGAACGGGAAUUAGCGGGAAAAUCCUUUUGUAUGAAAAAUCUAAACCACUCAAGUUAGACGUUUGAAAUUUGGCAUGCAGAUACCUUAGAUACCGUAGAGGUGUACUAAGAAAGGAAUUCCCGAAAUUCCCACGGGAACGGCAAUUAUCGGGAAAAUCCUUUUGUAUGAAAAAUCUAAACCACUCAAGUUAGACGUUUGAAAUUUGGCAUGCAGGUACCAUAGGUACCGUAGAGGUGCACUAAGAAAGGAAUUCCCAAAAUUCUCACGGGAACGGGAAUUAACGGGAAAAUCCUUUUGUAUGAAAAAUCUAAACCAUUCAAGUUAGAUGUUUGAAAUUUGGCUCGCAGGUACCUUAGAUACCGUAGAGGUACACUAAGAAAGGAAUUCCCGAAAUUCCCACGGGAACGGGAAUUAGCGGGAAAAUCCUUUUGUAUGAAAAAUCUAAACCACUCAAGUUAGACGUUUGAAAUUUGGCAUGCAGGUACUUUAGUAAACUUAAAGCUUAGUUGCAACAGGAUAUUACAAAAUUCCCACGGGAACGGUAGUUAGCGGGAAAAACAUUUGUAUGAAAAAAUCAAAUCUAAAUAAAAGGAGAAACUGACUGACUCAGUGACUGACAUAUCAACGCAUAGCCUGAACGGCUAAACGUAGGCAUUUGAAAUUUGGAAGGGACAUAGCUUAGGUACCGUAGAGGUGCACUAAGAAAGGAAUUCCCGGAAUUCCCACGGAAACGGAAAUUUGCGGGAAAAUCCUUUUGUAUGAAAAAUCUAAACCGCUUAAGUUAGACGCUUGAAAUUCGGCAUGCAGGUACCUUAGUUAACUUAAAGCUUAGUUGCAACAGGAUAUUGCAAAAUUCCCACGGAAACGGGAGUAAGCGGGAAAAAAACAUUUGUAUGAAAAAAUCGAAACCGCGUAAGAUAGAUGUUUUCAAUUCAAUUCAAUUAAAUUAUUUAUUGCAUUCCAUGUAGUACAAUGGGGUGUUACAUAGGCAUAGGAACUAAAACAUGGACCCUGUAGGGCACAGCAACGUUGAAGGGAAGAGAGGAAGUGUGUAUUAAAAUUAAAACUCAAUGAACAAUCAAUUAAAAAAAAAAAUCAAUUCAAUCAAUUGAUUCAAUCUAGCAUGCAUGCAUACCUUAGUAAAUAUAAAGUUUAUUUUUGGCUGUAUUUUGAAAAAUGGGAGUUAUUGGGAAAAAAAAAAUUAUGAAAAAAUCUAAACUGCAUAAGUAUGCACUCCCACACACACAAAGAUCUCUCUCUUAUAUAACACGCCACGCGGACGAAGUCGCGGGCAAAAGCUAGUUUAUUAUAUUUGUCUCAAACAAAUGAGUUUAUGGCAUUAUAUCAAUUAAACUGAUUUUUAUUACGACAUUACAUCCAAAUAUUUGUUAGCUGUCAUGUUCACAAUUUUCUAAACUAUAAGCCACAUUUUAAAAUAUUAUUUUAGUUUCUGAUUUUUUAAGUUAAAAGACUCAGUCAAUUUAGUUAGGUGGUAAUUUUUGUAAGGAUGGGUGCAAAUAACUUUGGUCCGACCUUCACACUACCCGAAUUUAUAAUUGUAUCAUAAUUUACGUUUUUAAACAUUAGUUUAUAUUAUUUUCAAUGUCAAUAAUAAUUAGAUUUAAAGACUGUGAUAAAUUAAGAAAUUAAAAACGAAAACUUCCAUCCAAUUAUCAUAUUAUUUAUAGAUAAUUAGAAAAGUGUGUUUGUCACAGUUUUUGAUGUUAUUGUAUGUAUGAGCACCUGGUAAAUUAUUAAAUGCUGUUAUAAUAAUUUAAUGUGUAACAUAUAUGUAUUUUGUAAUUUAACAAUUUGUUAUACAAGUUAAGUUUAUUGGUUCCAAGAACGACUCCAAAAUUACUUUAAUCUUUAAGUGGAGGUGCGUGAGUCGAGAUUUGUUCACAUUGUGAUUGCUAUACACUUAUGAAUUUAAUAAAUAUCGAUAGUAAA
rnacentral:misc_RNA from 1 species